AUUGAACGCUGGCGGCAUGCUUUACACAUGCAAGUCGAACGGCAGCGCGGGGCAACCUGGCGGCGAGUGGCGAACGGGUGAGUAAUACAUCGGAACGUACCCAGAAGUGGGGGAUAACGUAGCGAAAGUUACGCUAAUACCGCAUACGUUCUACGGAAGAAAGUGGGGGAUCUUCGGACCUCAUGCUUUUGGAGCGGCCGAUGUCUGAUUAGCUAGUUGGUGGGGUAAAGGCCUACCAAGGCGACGAUCAGUAGCUGGUCUGAGAGGACGACCAGCCACACUGGGACGGAGAGAAGGCCCAGACGCCUACGGGAGGCAGCAGUGGGGAAUUUUGGACAAUGGGCGCAAGCCUGAUCCAGCAAGGCCGCGUGAGUGAAGAAGGCCUUCGGGUUGUAAAGCUCUUUUGUCAGGGAAGAAACGGCUGAGGUUAAUACCUUCGGCUAAUGACGGUACCUGAAGAAUAAGCACCGGCUAACUACGUGCCAGCCGCCGCCGUAACAC
rnacentral:rRNA from 1 species